CUCCAUUUGCAUAGUAAGUCUAAUGGUUUGCUAGCCACUUGGUUCAUACCUCUCUAAUUUGGGGAAGGUACCCAACAUUCGGUUGGUAAUUUCCUUGUACCUGUUGGUUGAGGCUAAGUACAUUUUAACUUGUGUAAUGUUUGGUGAUAUUGUGUUUUUCCAUUUUUUCCCAACUGCCUUAGUAGCUGCUAUGAGAAUAUGUAGCAACAUAUCUACUUUCGGCCUCCUUAAAGAGGGAGGGAACAU